rnacentral:rRNA from 1 species
GGUGGAUGCCCUGGCAGUCAGAGGCGAUGAAGGGCGUGCUAAUCUGCGAUAAGCGCCGGUAAGGUGAUAUGAACCGUUAUAACCGGCGAUACCCGAAUGGGGAAACCCAGUGUGAUUCGUCACACUAUCAUUAACUGAAUCCAUAGGUUAAUGAGGCGAACCGGGGGAACUGAAACAUCUAAGUACCCCGAGGAAAAGAAAUCAACCGAGAUUCCCCCAGUAGCGGCGAGCGAACGGGGAGGAGCCCAGAGCCUGAAUCAGCAUGUGUGUUAGUGGAAGCGUCUGGAAAGGCGCGCGAUACAGGGUGACAGCCCCGUACACAAAAGCGCAUGUGCUGUGAGCUCGAUGAGUAGGGCGGGACACGUGGUAUCCUGUCUGAAUAUGGGGGGACCAUCCUCCAAGGCUAAAUACUCCUGACUGACCGAUAGUGAACCAGUACCGUGAGGGAAAGGCGAAAAGAACCCCGGCGAGGGGAGUGAAAAAGAACCUGAAACCGUGUACGUACAAGCAGUGGGAGCACCCUUUGGGUGUGACUGCGUACCUUUUGUAUAAUGGGUCAGCGACUUAUAUUCUGUAGCAAGGUUAACCGAAUAGGGGAGCCGGAGGGAAACCGAGUCUUAAUUGGGCGUUAAGUUGCAGGGUAUAGACCCGAAACCCGGUGAUCUAGCCAUGGGCAGGUUGAAGGUUGGGUAACACUAACUGGAGGACCGAACCGACUAAUGUUGAAAAAUUAGCGGAUGACCUGUGGCUGGGGGUGAAAGGCCAAUCAAACCGGGAGAUAGCUGGUUCUCCCCGAAAGCUAUUUAGGUAGCGCCUCGUGAAUUCAUCUCCGGGGGUAGAGCACUGUUUCGGCUAGGGGGCCAUCCCGGCUUACCAACCCGAUGCAAACUGCGAAUACCGGAGAAUGUUAUCACGGGAGACACACGGCGGGUGCUAACGUCCGUCGUGAAGAGGGAAACAACCCAGACCGCCAGCUAAGGUCCCAAAGUCAUGGUUAAGUGGGAAACGAUGUGGGAAGGCCCAGACAGCCAGGAUGUUGGCUUAGAAGCAGCCAUCAUUUAAAGAAAGCGUAAUAGCUCACUGGUCGAGUCGGCCUGCGCGGAAGAUGUAACGGGGCUAAACCAUGCACCGAAGCUGCGGCAGCGACACUGUGUGUUGUUGGGUAGGGGAGCGUUCUGUAAGCCUGUGAAGGUGUGUCGUGAGGCAUGCUGGAGGUAUCAGAAGUGCGAAUGCUGACAUAAGUAACGAUAAAGCGGGUGAAAAGCCCGCUCGCCGGAAGACCAAGGGUUCCUGUCCAACGUUAAUCGGGGCAGGGUGAGUCGACCCCUAAGGCGAGGCCGAAAGGCGUAGUCGAUGGGAAACGGGUUAAUAUUCCCGUACUUGGUGUUACUGCGAAGGGGGGACGGAGAAGGCUAUGUUGGCCGGGCGACGGUUGUCCCGGUUUAAGCGUGUAGGUGUGUGUUCCAGGUAAAUCCGGUUCACUUUAACACUGAGGCGUGACGACGAGGCACUACGGUGCUGAAGCAACAAAUGCCCUGCUUCCAGGAAAAGCCUCUAAGCAUCAGGUAACAUCAAAUCGUACCCCAAACCGACACAGGUGGUCAGGUAGAGAAUACCAAGGCGCUUGAGAGAACUCGGGUGAAGGAACUAGGCAAAAUGGUGCCGUAACUUCGGGAGAAGGCACGCUGACACGUAGGUGAAGUGAUUUACUCAUGGAGCUGAAGUCAGUCGAAGAUACCAGCUGGCUGCAACUGUUUAUUAAAAACACAGCACUGUGCAAACACGAAAGUGGACGUAUACGGUGUGACGCCUGCCCGGUGCCGGAAGGUUAAUUGAUGGGGUCAGCGCAAGCGAAGCUCCUGAUCGAAGCCCCGGUAAACGGCGGCCGUAACUAUAACGGUCCUAAGGUAGCGAAAUUCCUUGUCGGGUAAGUUCCGACCUGCACGAAUGGCGUAAUGAUGGCCAGGCUGUCUCCACCCGAGACUCAGUGAAAUUGAACUCGCUGUGAAGAUGCAGUGUACCCGCGGCAAGACGGAAAGACCCCGUGAACCUUUACUAUAGCUUGACACUGAACAUUGAGCCUUGAUGUGUAGGAUAGGUGGGAGGCUUUGAAGUGUGGACGCCAGUCUGCAUGGAGCCGACCUUGAAAUACCACCCUUUAAUGUUUGAUGUUCUAACGUGGACCCGUUACCCGGGUUGCGGACAGUGUCUGGUGGGUAGUUUGACUGGGGCGGUCUCCUCCUAAAGAGUAACGGAGGAGCACGAAGGUUGGCUAAUCCUGGUCGGACAUCAGGAGGUUAGUGCAAUGGCAUAAGCCAGCUUGACUGCGAGCGUGACGGCGCGAGCAGGUGCGAAAGCAGGUCAUAGUGAUCCGGUGGUUCUGAAUGGAAGGGCCAUCGCUCAACGGAUAAAAGGUACUCCGGGGAUAACAGGCUGAUACCGCCCAAGAGUUCAUAUCGACGGCGGUGUUUGGCACCUCGAUGUCGGCUCAUCACAUCCUGGGGCUGAAGUAGGUCCCAAGGGUAUGGCUGUUCGCCAUUUAAAGUGGUACGCGAGCUGGGUUUAGAACGUCGUGAGACAGUUCGGUCCCUAUCUGCCGUGGGCGCUGGAGAACUGAGGGGGGCUGCUCCUAGUACGAGAGGACCGGAGUGGACGCAUCACUGGUGUUCGGGUUGUCAUGCCAAUGGCACUGCCCGGUAGCUAAAUGCGGAAGAGAUAAGUGCUGAAAGCAUCUAAGCACGAAACUUGCCCCGA